rnacentral:rRNA from 1 species
AUUGAACGCUGGCGGCAGGCUUAACACAUGCAAGUCGAACGGGCGUAGCAAUACGUCAGUGGCAGACGGGUGAGUAACACGUGGGAACGUACCUUUUGGUUCGGAACAACUGAGGGAAACUUCAGCUAAUACCGGAUAAGCCCUUACGGGGAAAGGUUUAUCGCCGAAAGAUCGGCCCGCGUCUGAUUAGCUAGUUGGUGGGGUAAGAGCCCACCAAGGCGACGAUCAGUAGCUGGUCUGAGAGGAUGAUCAGCCACAUUGGGACUGAGACACGGCCCAAACUCCUACGGGAGGCAGCAGUGGGGAAUAUUGGACAAUGGGCGAAAGCCUGAUCCAGCCAUGCCGCGUGAGUGAUGAAGGCCCUAGGGUUGUAAAGCUCUUUUAACGGGGAAGAUAAUGACGGUACCCGUAGAAUAAGCCCCGGCUAACUUCGUGCCAGCCGCCGCGGUAAGAC